UGAAAGAAGGGAAUGGAGACCUUUUGUUUCCUGCUUUUUUGCUGUCGGUUUACUCGUGUUUGACUUGCUUUAUUUAUACAAAAAUCCUUGGUAUUUUUGUUCUGAAAUUUUUGAUCCUUCCCACUUUUUGAAUUUGCCAUUUCAUUUAGUUAUUAUGUUACUUUGUUGCUCAGAUGGCAUUUCUCUUUGAGCUUUGAUAAGCUUAAGGUCUAUGAUGUUUACUCUUUACUCAAGAGAACCAGUUAAACAGGGCUAAUUCAGAAAACAGGUUUUAAUUGAGUGUGAAACUCACAGCCAGUCUUCCAAAACCCAACAGCCAAGGGCUGUUUACAGCUGAAUGGGUUUACAGGAAUCAGGCUUACUAACUUUGUCACCGUGGCCACCAGAUCCAGUCUGUGUCCAGAUCAGAGGGUCACUGCAGUCACCCGGAUCCAGUACGUAUCCAGACCAGAUGGUGGAUCAGCACCUAGAAAGGACCUCUACUGCCCUGAAAGACAGCGGAGACCAGGACAACUAGAGCCCCAGAUACAGAUCCCCUGUAAAGACCUUGUCUCAGAGGACCACCAGGACAAGACCACAGGAAACAGAUGAUUCUUCUGCACAAUCUGACUUUGCUGCAGCCUGGAAUUGAACUACUGUUUUCGUCUGGUCAGAGGAGAACUGGCCCCCAGCUGAGCCUGGUUUCUCCCAAGGUUUUUUUCUCCAUUCUGUCACCGAUGGAGUUUCGGUUCCUUGCCGCUGUCGCCUCUGGCUUGCUUAGUUGGGGUCACUUCAUCUACAGCAAUAUCAUUGACUUGAUUGCAAAUAAAAACAGACACUAUUUCAACUGAACAGAGAUGACAUAACUGAAUUCAAUGAUGAACUGCCUUUAACUAUCAUUUUGCAUUAUUGAGACACUGUUUUCCAAAUGAAUGUUGUUCAGUGCUUUGGCGCAAUGUAUUUUGUUUAAAACACUAUAUAAAUAAAGGUGAUUGAUUGAUUGAA